UGGACCUCAGGAACACAGA
rnacentral:misc_RNA from 1 species